rnacentral:snRNA from 1 species
AUCACUUCUCGACCUUUUGGCUGAGAUCAAGUAUAGCAUCUGUUCUAAUCAGUUCAAUAGAGAAUUUUUUUUAUAUAUAUUUAACAGAGUUUUUCAUUUGGAACAAUC